AAAUAAAGGAUUUAGCCUGGUUUAUCAAAUCAAUGCCGCUAAGACUAGAUGGGCAGCUAAAAUAUAUUUGCAACUCAGGUAAAUAUAUGUCAUGUUAUCUUUUAUUUCAUUGAUAACGUUAUUGUGACAACUAACAAAUUCUCUUUAGUUUUCUUUUCUUAAAAUCCUAAUUUUCUUUAACUAAAUUUUGCUCAGUCAAGAGAAUCUGAUCUGGAUAAUUUAACUUGGAAUCGUUGGUGAUAUUAAGGUCACUUUCUUGAACGGUACGUACCUAUUUCACUCUGUAUUGGUUUUUUAUAUACUAAUGUGUUGCAAAUAUUUUUCUUUUAUCAUUUUUGACCCAAAUUUAUUGGUUUUGGUUUUAGAAUUGUUUUUGUUAUGGUAAUUUGUUAUUGUUGUUGCUUAAGUUGAUAAUUGUGUAUCUUAUUUCUUGCUGAUUUUCUUAGACACUUACAAGUAGUUUGUAGUUUGAUAUUUUUUUCUUAUAUUUAGUUGUGUAAGUGGUACUUGGAACAUGAUGUAUGAUAAAGGUUGGGUGGGUCUUAACAGGUAAUAUAGUAUUUGGAUUAUUACCAUAAAAAUUGAAAACUUUAGUGUCUUAAUAAUAACUUUUGUCUCAAUGUAUUUGUUGUUUAUAUUUUAUUAGAGUUGAUCCUGAUUAUGAGAUAGGAGCGUGGAAAUUUGUAGAAGCCGUCAUAAAUAACUUAGGAAAUCCUGAGAUGAUCUUAUUGUUGGGUUCCGGGCACGCGUACGCAGCGGAAAACAAAAAUUUUAUGCGAAUUAAACAACUUUAAAACACAUAAGCACAUGCCCGAUAAUUAAAUCAAUUAAUUGCGUACCUUUGCGCUUCCAGCGAAAUUAAAAACAACAUACAUUGCGUACCUUUGCGCUUCCAGCGAAAUUAAAACAACAUACAUGCUUAAUUACUUAAUCGAAAUUAAAUCAAUUAGCAUGCUCGCGUUUAAAUCAAAUAAUCAUGCUCGCAAUAAUAAAACCAAUUUCAUGUAGUCACAUAAAAUCAUACAAGUUUCUUAUUAAAACGAACAUGCAUAUAUUAAUUUAAACGUAACCGAAUCGAAUGACAAUAGAUUCGAAACAUUACCUCUUGAAGCGUGAGGUAGGCGCACUAAGCAAAGCUAGAUUGCCACGGAAACCAAUCCAUGCAAUCCGGGGCAGCAACGGCGAUGAUCCGAGCUACGGCACCGCAUGUGAUUCACGCGCAGAGAAGAUGGCUAGCUGCUCUUCCCACUCCUAUUGAUCCAACCUGUUUGCUGAUCUGAAAUUACAGCCUUGCUCCGACUUCAGUAUCUCCAUGCGUAUUUACUGGAUGAACAAUUCCUUCUGGACGAUGGUAGAUUUACGAGUUAUGAAGCUGCUGUCAAAAUUUCACGUCCAUCGGAUGACCGGUUGAUUUAUGGCGAAUUUUCUCGCUGGGCAGCACAGAAAAUCCGAGAGCAGUUUUUCGGAAUUGCCUUCUCUCAUCUUCGAUUCUUCGAUCUUCCUCCUCUUGGAUUUCACCUCGUAUACUUCGAUCUACUAAACACGUGGCACUAGACACGUAAUAGUCAGAAUAACGGAAGAAAAGAAAGAAGGAAAGGAAUACCGAAAGAGAUCGGCCAACGGGUGGCCGAUUCCGGCGAAUUUCCGGCGACGGCGCGGUGGUGGUGGCCGUGGGAGAGGGUGGCUGAUCGAGAGAGGCAGCGGCUAGGGUUAUGAACGUGUGUUCUCUUAGUUGUAUGUGUGCAAGACCUAUAAAUCAAGUAUUUAUAUGUCUUGCAUAAAACCCUAACGGGCUUAAGUUGGACAGGGCCCAACAGCUUAUGUCCGUUAGUUCUUUUACUUGCUCGUCUCUCUCAAUUCAAUGAUCGGAAAAUUGUAACGAUUACAUUUUCGGAAUCAUUAUAAUGUCCUCGUCAUUACGAGUUCCAACUCUCGAUUUCCAACUUUCCAAAAGUGGAAACCCUAAUUCAGUGCACUUUCUAAAUUUGGAAACUUCCCGAUUUAGAAAGUCCACUUCAAUGUUCGCCUAUUCUUUUCCUUUUCUUAUUCUCAUUCGUAAUUCCAAAUUACGAAUGUUGGACCCGAUCGUAUUGACUUCCAAUCAUGCAAAGAUAAACUAUUUUAUCUCUGACCGUUUAUUCAAAGAUCUCAUGUGCACGAGCAGUGUGACCCUCGAUGGUUCAGGUGUAAGCUAGCCGUGGGCCCACAACCCUUUGUGGUCAAAACUCGUCCCCUUAGAGUUACGAUUAAGAUGAAACUCGUUUCACCUUAAUCACCCAACGAAUCAAGAUUGGCGUCUAGCAACUACGCGUCAUGAUUCCCUAGAUACAAAUGAAGUGCCUGCAAGAACCUUCAGAUAUAGUUAACGUACAGUACGGUCCCUUCGAUACAUAUGUCCCGAUCGAACUAGAGGCAUUGGUUCAUCGAGACCUCUUUAUAUGUUCGAUGACGGUGCGAUCGUUCCAAGUGUUGUAAUCGUCACGUGCAUGACUUAGAGAAUCGAAUUCUCUAAUCAUCACUUAGUCAGCUCUGGCCAGAGACUUAGAAUGAUUACAAACUUUCAGAACACACAGGACAUCCAAGACUAUUCUAGCGAUCGAAUCCCCGACUACAAUGCACAGACCUCCCAUUAGAUUUCGGACUGCACGAACACUGGCCCUUGGGAUGGUCCUCGGUGGAACUCAGAGACAGGUCACGAUACAGCUGGUCCUCUAGUGAAGUCACGGUGAUGUCUAGGUCAUAAGGACUAAUGGUGUACAACUAUACCAUAGAUAUCUCUACUCGAUUAUUGGGAACCACUUAGUGAUUUCUAGGGUGAGGGAGUUCAGUGAACUCGUCAACUUACGAGCACCCACUUAUGCAUGCCGAUAUCACAAUACCGUUUACUGAUGAGAUGCAGUACACAUACACUAAGUGCUAGUCUUCUAAUGGGAAAGGCCGAUAUCCUCAUUGGUGGCGUAACCCUUCGACUAGGAACACGUUUAACAGUUAUAAUACUUACGUAAAUAUCUCACGAUCCUAACGAUCAAUUACUAGUACUUGUAAUAACUGUAAGGACUAUAUCUAUGCUUGUGACAAAGGGACAAAGAUAUAGAAUGCCAAGGUGUUUUAUCAUUAAUACGAAUAAAGGUUCGUUUAUUACCAUAAUAAAUACGAAAGACCACAGCCACAAGUUGGCUUGUUGGUCACCUACUCUAACACUUAUGUCCUUGCAUAGAUUGUCGUAAUGUUGAUCAUCAAUACGGUAAUAUUGUUGUCGAACAUUUAGUAACAAGAGGAAUGGAUAUCAAAUACAAACAAAGAAAUGAUUGGUAUGAGCAUGGAGAGCAAAUGACUAGUGGAGAUAGAGUAGAUGAAAUAGACAAUAAUGAGGCGUUUAAUUUAUAUAAAGCUACCCACUAUCUGGAGGAAGACUAUGUGAAGUCUGGUGAGUUUGUUAACGAAGACUACGAUGAGCCUAUGGAAGGAAAACCUGAUGAUAGCUUUAUGGCAAACCUUAAAGACGCAGAAACUCCUUUGUAUUCUAAUGGGUCAAGAUUUAAUAAAUUGCAAGCCAUUGUAACUUUAUUCCGACUUAAAACUCGUAGUGGAUGGUCGGAUACAUGUUUUAAUGAACUUCUUGGUGUAUUAACGGACCUGCUUCCAGAGGAUAAUGUACUUCCAAAGUCAUUGUACUUAAUGAAAAAAAUUCUUAAGGAGUUUGGCAUGGGGUAUGAGAGAAUUCAUGCUUGUUUGAAUGAUUGCUGCCUAUUUAGAAACGAGUACAAGGACAUGGAAAAUUGUCCCAAAUGUGGUGAUUCAAGAUGGAAAAUAAAUAAGAGGACCAAAGUUAUAAGAAAAGGUGUCCCAGUUAAAGUUUUGCGAUAUUUUCCUAUAAUUCCAAGAUUUAAAAGGAUGUUCAGGUAUAAAAAAAUGGCUGAAGAUUUGAGAUGGCAUUUUAGCAAUAAAAGCACUGAUGGAAAAAUGCACCACCCUGUUGAUUCUGUAACAUGGGACCUAGUGAAUGGUAAAUGGGAAUCUUUUGCUACUGAACCACGAAAUCUUAGACUUGGUCUUUCUACUGAUGGUUUCAACCCAUUUUCUAUGUUAAGCUCCAGACAUAGUUGUUGGCCUGUAAUGUUAGUUACGUACAAUUUGUCUCCUAUGUUGUGCAUGCAAAAAGAGAACAUUAUGUUGACAUUAUUGAUUCCAGGUCCGAAGCAACCUGGAAACGAUAUAGAUGUGUAUUUACAACCACUUAUAGAAGACUUGCAAAAAUUGUGGUACAAUGGGGUGGAGGCAUAUGAUGCAUUUAGUAAUACUAUUUUUAACCUUAGAGCAAUUUUAUUAUGGACCGUAAAUGAUUUUCCAGCCUAUGGUAAUCUUGCUGGAUGUUGUACUAAAGGUAAAAUGGCAUGCCCUCUCUGUGGAAAAAAUACACAUCACCAAUGGUUAAAGUAUAGUAGAAAAUUUGCAUACAUGGGUCAUAGGAAAUUUUUGCCGCCUUCACAUUUAUACCGGGGAAAAAAGUCGUGGUUUGAUAAUAAUGUAGAAAACGGGAGCAAGCCAAGAAUCUUGACUGGUCGGAAUAUUUUUGCUGCUCUUGAAAAAUUUCCAAAUAAUUUUGGAAAAUUUAAAAAACAAAAAAGAAAAAGGAAUGACAAUGCAAACGGUGACAAGGAUGAUGAAGUCGGCAAUAAUGAAGAUGAUGAUCAAGAUGAUGAGCUAGUACGAUGGAAGAAAAAAUCCAUCUUCUUUGACUUACCAUAUUGGAAGGUUAGUAUUUAUAUAUUCUUUUGUCUUUAUUUCAAUAUAUAUACUUACAUAUAUAUAUACUGAGAGCUGCCUUCAUUGUUAAUAGGAACUUCCAUUACGUCAUAAUUUAGACAUAAUGCAUGUAGAAAAAAAUGUGUGCGAAAGUAUAAUAAGUACAAUUUUACAUUGUGGAAAGUCAAAAGAUGGGGUCAAUGCUAGGAAGGAUUUAGAAAAUAUGAAAAUAAGAAAGGAUUUACAUCCACAACCUCGAGGGAGUAAAACUUACCUUCCAGCAGCUCCAUGGACAUUGUCAAAGUCUGAGAAAAAAACUUUUUGCAAGAGAUUGUAUGAUUUCAAAGGACCUGAUGGUUAUUGCUCAAAUAUUGGGAAAUGUGUGUCGCUGGAAGAAUGCAAGGUUAUUGGCCUCAAGUCUCACGAUUAUCAUGUUCUAAUGCAACAAUUGCUUCCAAUUGCACUACGAGGAUUGCUUCCAAAAGGUCCUAGAAAGGCAAUACAUAGAUUAUCUAUUUUCUUCAACAAGUUAUGUCAACGUGUUAUUGAUAGAGAUAAAAUUGCAGUCCUAGAGGAUGAGGUUAUAGAAACAUUGUGCAUGCUUGAAAGAUACUUUCCACCGUCUUUUUUCGAUAUUAUGGUACACGUAGUAGUUCACCUAGGAAGAGAAGCUCGAUUAUGUGGACCUGUUCAAUUUCGUUGGAUGUAUCCAUUCGAGAGGUAAAUAAUUAUUUUAUGCAUUUUUUUUUACACUUUGUCUAUAUCUAAACCAUGUAGACGUCGAUUACUUAUAGAUACAUGAAAGUUCUCAAGGAUUAUGUAAGAAAUUAUGCACAGCCAGAGGGGUGUAUUGCCGAAUCUUAUCUUGGAGAAGAGUGUAUACGAUUUUGUAGUGAUUUUCUGAAAAAAAACAAUACGGGUUGAAGAAAAAGACGUUCGCAAUGAUGAUUGUGCGAAUAAUGAAGUAAUUUUAGAAGGUCGUCCAAUAUCAGGAUCCAAAUCAAUAAUGCUAAGUGACCAAGAAAAAAAAAUUGCGCACCUUGCUGUUAUAAUGAAUACAGCAAUGAUAGACCCAUAUUUAGAGUAAGUUUUGAUUUAUUAUUUCAAUAUUUAUAUAAAUAAAAAAUUCAAAUGUAUACUUAAUUUUUUUCUUCUUUUAGCAUGCACUUGGAAGAAUUACAAGAAUCAAACAUACGCCUAAGAAAAGAUGCAACCAUGCUUUGGAAUAGACAUACUGAAAAAUUUGCAGAAUGGUUAAAAAAGAAGGUUAGAACAAAAUAUUGCAAUAUUUUUUAGUUUUGAUUAAUUAUUUGCUUGAUCAAAAUAUUAAUGAAAUUUCUUAAACAUUCACAGAUACCUAUUGAUUCAGAGAAUCACUCAGACACAUUAAAAUGGAUUGCAUAUGGUCCACGAGACAACGCUUUGUCUUAUACCGGUUAUAUAAUCAAUGGGUUUCGAUUUCACACAAAGGACGUUGAUCGAGAAACUCAAAAUAGUGGAGUGAUUUAUGAGGCUACAAGCAUGUGUAGGGCAAGCGCCAAAGAUAAUGCACAAGUGCCUGAUUUGGUUACUUAUUAUGGAUUAAUAACAGAUAUCUUAUUACUUGAUUAUCAUGUAUUUCAUGUUCCGAUUUUUCGGUGUCAAUGGGCAAAUAAGGGUAAUGGUGUUAAAUUUGAAGAUGGAUUUACUCUUGUGAACCUUAAUCAAAGUCAAGCAUCAUUUGCGAGGGAUCCAUAUAUCUUAGCAGCUCAAGCUAAGCAAGUAUUUUAUUCGAAGGAGGAUGAUCUCUCCAAUUGGUCUGUUGUGCUGAAAGCACCACAAAGAGGUUUUCAGGACUUAGAGGCAAUUAACGAAGAUAAUGAAAUUGUAGAUGUCCCUGGACUUCCUCGAGAAGUCGAAGUUGACAUGAACGUUGAAGAGUCAAAUGAUGAAGUUAGAUAUGUUAGGGAUGACUGUGAAGGAAUACUUGAGUAAAAUUUGUUUAGUUAAUUUUAUUGAUUCAUAUAUUAGUCGUAUGGAGAAAAUGCCCUUUUAUAAGAUUUGUCAGAUUAUUUUUUAGUUUAUAGAUUAUAAUUAUAAAUAUGUGAUUAUUAUUUGUUUACUAAUAUUGUCUUUGAUGGUUCAGUAAGUUUACUUUUGAACAAAGUUCAUUGUUUGCAUCAAUUUAUAUUUUAUUAUUGUUACAUUAUUUUUUUUUUCUAAACAGGUUAUGCUUCCUUAUUUAUUUAUUUAUUUAUAUCUCUAAAUUUUCCAUUUUUUGUUCAAGAAUGAUACUGUGCUUGUGUUUGUGAAAUAUACAUCUCAUUCGACAAUGCUGAUAUACUUCAUUUUUUGAAACAGGUUAAGAACUAUGGAAUCUCAAGCUAAGAAGACAAGUUCCAAGAAGCGAAAGCGUUCUAAAC
rnacentral:lncRNA from 1 species